rnacentral:rRNA from 1 species
GGACUUGAUUAUGGCUCAGAUUGAACAUAUGGAUGUUUGCUAAUAUGCAAGUCGAACGGCAGCACGGACUUCGGUCUGCGGCGAGUGGCGAACGGGCGAGUACGUAUCGGAACGUGCCUAGAGCGGAUAACUACGGAAAGUGGUCAUCACCGUAUACGCCCUCGGGGAAAGCGGGGACCUUCGGGCCGCACUAUUAGAGGGCUGAUAUCGGAUUAGCGAGUUGGUGGGCAACGCCUACCAAGGCGACGAUCCGGUAGCUGGUUUGAGAGGACGACCAGCCACACUGACUGGGAGACAGCGGCCUAGACUCCUACGGGAGGCAGCAGUGGGGAAUUUUGGACAAAUGGGGAAACCCUGAUCCAGCCAAUCGGCGUGAUGGGGCCCGGUUGGGUAAAGCACCCUUGGCAGGAAAGAAACGGCACGGUGGGGAUAAUACCCUGUGCAACGAUUUAGUACCUGAGAAUAAGCACUGGCUAACUACGUGCCAGCAGCCGCGGUAAUACGUAGGGUGCAAGCGUUAAUCGGAAUUACUGGCGUAAAGCGCAGGUGGUUGGAAAGAAAGAUGGGAACUUCAGAGCUUAACUUUGAACUGCAUUUUUAACUACCGAGCUAGAGUGUGUCAGAGGAGUGUGGAAUUCGCGUAGCAGUGAAUGUGUAGAUAUGCGGAGGAACACCGAUGGCGAAGGCGCUCCCGGGAUAACACUAUUGCCCGCACAGGCUGGAGCAAACAGGAUUAGAUAACGGUAGUCCACGCCCUGAACGAUGUCAUCCGCUGUUGGGGCCUUCGGCCUGAUAUGGGAAUGACGGCGUGAAGUUGACCGCCUGGGGAGUACGGUCGCAAGAUUAAAACUCAAAGCGAAACUGACGUGGACCCGCCAGCGGCAAGAUGAUGUGGAUUAAUUCGAUGCAACGCGAAAACCUUACCUACCCCGACAUGUCUGGAAUCCUGAAGAGAUUUGGGAGUGCCUGCAAGAGAACCGAACACAGGUAAGUGCUAACAUGGCUGUCGCCAGUCGUCGCGAGAUGUUGGGUUAAGUCCGGCAACGAGCGCAACCCUUUGCACAUUAGUUACAUGAAAGGGCACUUUAAUGAGACUGCCGGUGACAAACCGGAUAGGGAAGGUGGGGAUGACAAGCCAAGUCCUCAUGGCCCUUAUGGCAGGGCUUCACACGUCAUACAAAUUUGUCGGGACAGAGGUCGCCAACCCGCGAGAGGGGGAUAAUCCCAGAAACCUGAUCGUAGUCUGGAUGUGCCUGCAACCUGACUGCGUGAAGUCGGAAUCGCUGGUAACGGCAGAUCAGCACGUUUGGCGGGUGAAUACGUUCCCGGGUCUUGGGUACACACCGUCUGUCAUAAAUUCAUGGGAGUGGGUUUACCAGAAGUGUUAGCCUAACUGCAAGGAGGGCGAUUACCACGGUAGGAUUCCAUGACUGGGGUGAAGUCGUAAUGAAGGCAACCCCAGCGAUAACGAUGCUCCC